GCUGGUCCGAUGUUUGGGAUAUUGGACUGACCUAAUUUUAUUUAUUUUUUAUUUCAAAUGCAGUCCGAUGUUGGAGACAUCAGACCGAUCUAGUUUAAAAAAAUGCUAGAUAUCUGGUGGUCUGAUGUGUGCAAUGUUGGACAACCCAAAAAAUGGGUUGGUCCGAUAUCUGGAGUAUCAGAUAGCCCUAGUGUUUGUAAGAAUUGAUAAAAGUAAAACAAAAAACUGGUAUGAUGUUUGCAACAUCGGACUGCAGACAAAAUUGGAAUUAAAACAAACAUGAAAAAGAGGGACCUCUGUGUGAAAUUCCCAAAAAUUUAGACCAAACUAUAAUUCUGCUAAUAAAUAAAUAACAGUCCAUAUGUAAUUUUUCCCCAAAAAAAUAGUAGGGGUUAUGACUCAUUUUAGUCAAUCCUUGCAGAUGUCUAUGAUCCCAUUGCAUUAUUCACUGAAAGAAUGUACACAUAAGUUAUAUGUUCUCACAGAUAAAGAAAGCACAACAUAAGUAAUAUGGCAAUUCUCCAAAUGCAUUUUGGAGAAAAAUGAAUAUUGGCCUGAUUCAGGUAGAGAAAUAUCUCCUUCCAUAACAAAAUGUAGAUGUCAGUUAUAUUUAAUUAUCAUGCAUGAUAUUUGUGAUUCACUGGGAAAAAAUAAUAGUCAUAUCUUUGCAACUGCAAGCCAUAUUUCAAAUAUUUUUUACUUGACACCACUGCAUAAGAAGGAUUAGAGGCCUGGAGGCGGCCAUUUUUCUAAUGCAGGAGCACCUAUAAAUUUUUUAUUCACGGGAGCGGUAAACCCUGAUUAUGUUUCUUGUCAAGGUUUGAAACACAUAUCCUUCAACUUGUUUAUUUAUUUCAAACUCGGUCUGAUAUUUUAAGUUCGUACCUCCUUCUAAUCAAGGUUGGCAUCUAUACUGUCAUGUCUGAAUAGGUAAUCUGUAAUUUUAUGUGUUGGAUAUUAGACCAUCUUAUUUGAGUCAUUAUCUUUGAUCACCAGUCGAAAAAGAAAUGAAUCCAUAGUUCUGGCACUGUUGAGAAAUAUUAUCUGCUCAGGUGGUUAUGGUAGCUGGAAAAACUGCAAGCUUUUUUUCCAUGAUGUGUGCUUGGGGAUUUGGCUAUCCAAUAUCAAUGCCCACUGGUGGCUGCUUAGAACUUAAACAAGUGAGGAAUAGUGCAAACAGAUAUCAAUCACAUCAAGGCAAAGGAAUAUCCAGGAGGUCAUGGAUGAAAAUAUGGUGGAAACUGAGGAUACUAUGGCAGAGCGCAAGGGAGGGCAAAGGGGGGUAAGAAUGGGUUAAAAUUCUAUCGAAUUGAAGGAAGGGGAACCAAUAGCAUUUGGUAAGGGGAGGGCAGUUUGGGAACUACUUUUGAAAUGGUUGACUUCGCAGGACUGAACAACGUUGUGAAUAUUAGUUGACGAUCUUGAGGGUUGACCCGGUAGAGUAUUAAAAUAGGGAAUUCUCUGUGGAUAUCACGAUGCAUGUAUUGAAUAUUAGUGCUGUAAAGGUAUUCCCUUCCACUUUAUUUAGUUAUGGAGCUUAUAUUGGGAGUUUUAGUGUAACAAAUUAACCUCUAGAGCUCUGUUAGGUGGUAGUUGUUGUGUUCAUUUUCGUUUACUUUUAAUCUAUUUUUAGAAUUGAUCGUCAUUAUCUUGGUUUAUAUGUAUAUUUUAGUGUUGAUUGUUCCUGUGCAAUAUAGAGAGCUUGUCCCAGUAUAUGUCUCUACAUGAAUAAUAAUAUUCUGUAUCUGUGUGACAAAUAGAUAAAAAAAUUAGAAAAAAAUCAUCGAAAUUGUUAAGCCGCCUUAAAAGAUUAUCAAGGUGGCCAAUAAACCUAUCUACCAGUAAGGUGGUUUGAUUUUAAAAUAUGAUUUUCACUCAAUUAAUUCCUCAUCUAUUUUGUUCAAUAACACCCAAAAUGCCUGAGUCCUAGAUUUGGAGUCCUAACAAGCAGUGGUGCUUUGGUAAUCUUGCCCCACUUAAGUGGCCCCAGCUAAAUGAUGUAAAUACGUUCAGUAAAAUAAUGUAACUUGCUUGCUCCAGAUUCCAAAACCAAAAAUGUUUUUUGCAUUAAAAUUUCUUAUUCCUGGUUUGGAAUUUGGAACAAGUGGGGGGCAUGUUGGUCUUAUUGGUGCAAUUAUUCCAAACCCUGAGUGGGAACAUUUUUUAAUGAAAUACUUGAGAAGGUACUUUAGUGAAAUGAUCCUAUUAAAAUAACCCCUUUGUUGAUAAAUUGGUUGAUUUGACCGCUCCAGUGAUUUUUUGAGAUAGUUUGACCAUUUUGACAAUACUUUCCCAAAAAACUAUUCUAUGCGUGCACAUACAAAACGAUAUUGGAUCAAGAUUGUAAUCAGGCGGAGAGCGUAACAAUGUUAGGCUGAUAUAUGACACUGGGGAAAUGACAUACAACUUAAGGACAAAGGUUUGGGUUGGGCUUAUGGAGGCAAGGUACAACGUUAAACAGAAUAACAACAGAAAGAUGAGGCUAAUGUGAUUGUAUGUAAUGAUGGUCGGUUGGAUUUUGGGAUUAGAUGAAAGGACUAUGGUUACAAGACUUUGAGCUUAGGCUGAACAGAUCUAUGGCUGGUGGAAGUUUUCUAAAAUAUUGGUGUUCUUUUGUUGAAUUGAAAGUCAGAAGAUUUUGAUGGUAGGAAGAAGAUAUGGGUCAGAAAAGGGUUGGAUAGGAGAACUUUGGGGGGUUGUUGGGGGUGGUUUAGAGAGAAGGAAAAGCAGAGGUCCUUGAUUAGUUACUAGAGGCAGAGGGAGCAGGCGCAGGAAAGGAGUAGCACACGUAAGAAGGGAGUUGUAGUAAGGGGAUGGGUAUAGAGGUGGAAGUAUAUUGUGUACUAUGAUGCUCAUGGAAUUUGAUUAGAGGGGCAGGAAGGUUCAAUCAUACAUGAAACUAUACACAAAUUUGAGAGAAGUUAAUGAGCUUUGGGUAGAAGGAUUUAGAGGUUGGGAGAUGUUUUAGGAAAUCACAUUUGUGGAGUCAUAAGGGGGAAAUGUGGAUAAAUAUUGGGGGGUUGGAAUUAUGUUUGAUUUCGUGUGGCCUGGCUCUACGUGAUUGGAAGCUUAGGAAGAUUGGGGUGAAACAGAAAAUUAGAAAAUGGGUGAAGGGUUCAAGUGGUGUAAGGUUCACUAUUGGGAUUGGUUCUUUGAGGGAACUUUGCUAUCAAUAUAUGUCUCUAGCUUUGGACAUUCCAGGCUUUUGGGGGUCCAGUUGAUCGAGAGGCUCAUGUUAAAUGAGAGUGCUUUGUUGCCCGGUUGAGGAAAGGGUUGAGGGGUGAAGAAGGUAGAAUGAAAUUACAAUUUUUAGUGCCGUUCGAGGACGUGGAGUUAGU
rnacentral:lncRNA from 1 species